rnacentral:rRNA from 1 species
UGGCGACCGGCGCACGGGUGAGUAACACGUAUCCAACCUGCCGAUGACUCGGGGAUAGCCUUUCGAAAGAAAGAUUAAUACCCGAUGGCAUAGUUCUUCCGCAUGGUAGAACUAUUAAAGAAUUUCGGUCAUCGAUGGGGAUGCGUUCCAUCAGGUUGUUGGCGGGGUAACGGCCCACCAAGCCUUCGAUGGAUAGGGGUUCUGAGAGGAAGGUCCCCCACAUUGGAACUGAGACACGGUCCAA